GGACCUGUUAACUAGGACGGUCAAGGGGAUUGGUAGGGAGACAAGAUGAUUAUAUUUUCUGUUGAAUAAAGGUGUUGGAGAUGGAAGCAACAUGAAUGCAACCAGUGCAAAGUUGAUACACAUAAAGACCAAUGAAGAUGAUGGCAUGUUAUGGCACAAUAGACUUGGCCACCCAGCAUAUACGAUUUCGAAGAAAGUAGUUCCCAUUACUGAUAGACAUGUUAAUGAUUGUGUUGUAUGCUCAUUAGCUAAGCAAACGAGAUUGUCAUUUCCUAUGUCGACAACUAGAAGUAGUUCUGUAUUUGAAUUGAUACAUAUUGAUGUUUGGGG
rnacentral:lncRNA from 1 species